GGAAUGAGUACACUCUAAAUCCUUUAACGAGGAUCAAUUGGAGGGCAAGUCUGGUGCCAGCAGCCGCGGUAAUUCCAGCUCCAAUAGCGUAUGCUAAAGCUGCUGCGGUUAAAAAGCUCGUAGUUGGAUCUCAGUUGCGGGCGGGUGGUGCAUCUACCCGAUGUGACAGCCCGAUCUGAACAUCUUGCCUUCUAUCCUCUGGUGUCCUUCACUGGAUGCCUUUGGGUGGUCGGUGCAUUUACUUUGAAAAAAUUGGAGUGCUCAACGCAGGCGAAGUGCCUGAACACUUAUGCAUGGAAUAAUAGAACAAGACCCCGUUUCUGUUCUGUUGGUUUUUGGAAAACGAGGUAAUGAUCAAGAGGGACAGACGGGGGCAUUCGUAUUGCGGCGCUAGAGGUGAAAUUCUUGGACCGUCGCAAGACGAACUACAGCGAAAGCAUUUGCCAAGAAUGUUUUCAUUGAUCAAGAACGAAAGUUAGAGGUUCGAAGGCGAUCAGAUACCGCCCUAGUUCUAACCAUAAACGAUGCCAACCAGCAAUCCGCCUGAGUUACUCCAAUGACUCUGCGGGCAGCUCCCGGGAAACCAAAGUAUUUGGGUUCCGGGGGAAGUAUGGUUGCAAAGCUGAAACUUAAAGGAAUUGACGGAAGGGCACCACCAGGAGUGGAGCCUGCGGCUCAAUUUGACUCAACACGGGAAAACUUACCCGGCCCGGACACUGGGAGGAUUGACAGAUUGAGAGCUCUUUCUUGAUCGG
rnacentral:rRNA from 1 species